AUUGAACGCUGGCGGCAGGCCUAACACAUGCAAGUCGAGCGAGUGGCGGACGGGUGAGUAAUGUAUGGGGAUCUGCCUGAUAGCGGGGGAUAACUACUGGAAACGGUAGCUAAUACCGCAUACCAUCAGAUGUACCCAUAUGGGAUUAGCUAGUUGGUGGGGUAAAGGCGAACCUAGGCGACGAUCCCUAGCUGGUCUGAGAGGAUGAGCAGCCACACUGGGACUGAGAAACGGCCCAGACUCCUACGGGAGGCAGCAGUGGGGAAUAUUGCACAAUGGGCGCAAGCCUGAUGCAGCCAUGCCGCGUGUAUGAAGAAGGCCUUCGGGUUGUAAAGUACUUUCAGCGGGGAGGCGUUACCCGCAGAAGAAGCACCGGCUAACUCCGUGCCAGCAGCCGCGGUAAUAC
rnacentral:rRNA from 1 species